rnacentral:rRNA from 1 species
UGAUCCUGGGUCAGGAAGAACGCUAGCUGGCAGGCUUAACACAUGCAAGUCGAGGGGCAGCAUGUCCAGCAAUGGAUGAUGGCGACCGGCGGAAGGGUGCGUAACGCGUGAGCAACAUGCCCUAUACAGGGAGAUACACCAGGGAAACUUGGUCUAAUAUCCCAUAGCAUUCAUUGAAGGCAUCUUUAAUGAAUUAAAGCUUCGGUGGUAUAGGAUUGGCUCGCGUGACAUUAGCCAGAUGGUGAGGUAACGGCUCACCAUAGCAAUGAUGUCUAGGGGUUUUGAGAGGAAGGCCCCCCACACUGGGACUGAGACACGGCCCAGACUCCUACGGGAGGCAGCAGUGAGGAAUAUUGGACAAUGGAUGGAAAUCUGAUCCAGCCUUGCCGCGUGCAGGAAGACGGCCUUAUGGGUUGUAAACUGCUUUUAUACGGGAGCAAUAAGGGUUACGAGUAAUCCGAUGAGAGUACUGUAUGAAUAAGGAUCGGCUAACUCCGUGCCAGCAGCCGCGGUAAUACGGAGGAUCCGAGCGUUAUCCGGAAUUAUUGGGUUUAAAGGGUGCGUAGGCGGCCAUUUAAGUCAGCGGUGAAAUUUUGCAGCUUAACUGUAACAGUGCCGUUGAUACUGUUUGGCUAGGAUUUGGUUGUAGUGUGCGGAAUGUGUGGUGUAGCGGUGAAAUGCUUAGAUAUCACACAGAACACCGAUUGCGAAGGCAGCACACUAAGUCAUUAUCGACGCUGAGGCACGAAAGUGUGGGGAUCAAACAAGAUUAGAUACCCUGGUAGUCCACACUGUAAACGAUGAUAACUCGCUGUCGGACGAUACACAGUCGGUGGCCAAGCGAAAGCAUUAAGUUAUCCACCUGGGGAGUACGACCGCAAGGUUGAAACUCAAAGGAAUUGACGGGGGCCCGCACAAGCGGA